GAUGAACGCUGGCGGCGUGCCUAAUACAUGCAAGUCGAGCGAACAGAUAAGGAGCUUGCUCCUUUGACGUUAGCGGCGGACGGGUGAGUAACACGUGGGUAACCUACCUAUAAGUCUGGGAUAACUUCGGGAAACCGGAGCUAAUACCGGAUAACAUUUGGAACCGCAUGGUUCUAAAGUGAAAGAUGGUUUUGCUAUCACUUAUAGAUGGACCCGCGCCGUAUUAGCUAGUUGGUAAGGUAACGGCUUACCAAGGCGACGAUACGUAGCCGACCUGAGAGGGUGAUCGGCCACACUGGAACUGAGACACGGUCCAGACUCCUACGGGAGGGAGCAGUAGGGAAUCUUCCGCAAUGGGCGAAAGCCUUACGGAGCAACGCCGCGUGAGUGAUGAAGGGGUUCGGCUCGUAAAACUCUGUUAUUAGGGAAGAACAAAUGUGUAAGUAACUGUGCACGUCUUGACGGUACCUAAUCAGAAAGCCACGGCUAACUACGUG
rnacentral:rRNA from 1 species